rnacentral:rRNA from 1 species
GAUGAACGCUGGCGGCGUGCCUAAUACAUGCAAGUCGAGCGAACGGACGAGAAGCUUGCUUCUCUGAUGUUAGCGGCGGACGGGUGAGUAACACGUGGAUAACCUACCUAUAAGACUGGGAUAACUUCGGGAAACCGUAGCUAAUACCGGAUAAUAUUUUGAACCGCAUGGUUCAAAAGUGACAGACGGUCUUGCUGUCACUUAUAGAUGGAUCCGCGCUGCAUUAGCUAGUUGGUAAGGUAACGGCUUACCAAGGCAACGAUGCAUAGCCGACCUGAGAGGGUGAUCGGCCACACUGGAACUGAGACACGGUCCAGACUCCUACGGGAGGCAGCAGUAGGGAAUCUUCCGCAAUGGGCGAAAGCCUGACGGAGCAACGCCGCGUGAGUGAUGAAGGUCUUCGGAUCGUAAAACUCUGUUAUUAGGGAAGAACAUAUGUGUAAGUAACUGUGCACAUCUUGACGGUACCUAAUCAGAAAGCCACGGCUAACUACGUG